rnacentral:rRNA from 1 species
GAUGAACGCUGGCGGCGUGCCUAAUACAUGCAAGUCGAGCGAACAGACGAGGAGCUUGCUCCUCUGACGUUAGCGGCGGACGGGUGAGUAACACGUGGAUAACCUACCUAUAAGACUGGGAUAACUUCGGGAAACCGGAGCUAAUACCGGAUAAUAUAUUGAACCGCAUGGUUCAAUAGUGAAAGACGGUUUUGCUGUCACUUAUAGAUGGAUCCGCGCCGCAUUAGCUAGUUGGUAAGGUAACGGCUUACCAAGGCAACGAUGCGUAGCCGACCUGAGAGGGUGAUCGGCCACACUGGAACUGAGACACGGUCCAGACUCCUACGGGAGGCAGCAGUAGGGAAUCUUCCGCAAUGGGCGAAAGCCUGACGGAGCAACGCCGCGUGAGUGAUGAAGGUCUUCGGAUCGUAAAACGCUGUUAUUAGGGAAGAACAAAUGUGUAAGUAACGAUGCACGUCUGGACGGUACCUAAUCAGAAAGCCACGGCUAACUACGU